UACGAAGGGUGCAAGCGUUAAUCGGAAUUACUGGGCGUAAAGGGUGCGUAGGCGGUUGUUUAAGUCUGUCGUGAAAUCCCCGGGCUCAACCUGGGAAUGGCGAUGGAUACUGGGCAGCUAGAGUGUGUCAGAGGAUGGUGGAAUUCCCGGUGUAGCGGUGAAAUGCGUAGAGAUCGGGAGGAACAUCAGUGGCGAAGGCGGCCAUCUGGGACAACACUGACGCUGAGGCACGAAAGCGUGGGGAGCAAACAGG
rnacentral:rRNA from 1 species